rnacentral:rRNA from 1 species
CCUGGCCUUGACAUACUAAGAACUUUCCAGAGAUGGAUUGGUGCCUUCGGGAACUUAGAUACAGGUGCUGCAUGGCUGUCGUCAGCUCGUGUCGUGAGAUGUUGGGUUAAGUCCCGCAACGAGCGCAACCCUUUUCCUUAUUUGCCAGCGGGUUAAGCCGGGAACUUUAAGGAUACUGCCAGUGACAAACUGGAGGAAGGCGGGGACGACGUCAAGUCAUCAUGGCCCUUACGGCCAGGGCUACACACGUGCUACAAUGGUCGGUACAAAGGGUUGCUACCUCGCGAGAGGAUGCUAAUCUCAAAAAAGCCGAUCGUAGUCCGGAUCGCAGUCUGCAACUCGACUGCGUGAAGUCGGAAUCGCUAGUAAUCGCGGAUCAGAAUGCCGCGGUGAAUACGUUCCCGGGCCUUGUACACACCGCCCGUCACACCAUGGGAGUUUGUUGCACCAGAAGUAGGUAGUCUAACCGCAAGGAGGACGCUUACCACGGUGUGGCCGAUGACUGGGGUGAAGUCGUAACAAGGUAGGCGUAGAUGA